CAACAGCUCAAUUUGAAAUCUGGCCCCUAGGGUCCGAGUUGUAAUUUGUAGAGGAUGCUUUUGGUGAGGUGCCGCCCGAGUUCCCUGGAACGGGACGCCACAGAGGGUGAGAGCCCCGUCUGGCUGGCCACCGAGCCUCUGUAAAGCUCCUUCGACGAGUCGAGUAGUUUGGGAAUGCUGCUCAAAAUGGGAGGUAUAUGUCUUCUAAAGCUAAAUAUUGGCCAGAGACCGAUAGCGCACAAGUAGAGUGAUCGAAAGAUGAAAAGCACCUUGAAAAGAGGGUUAAACAGUACGUGAAAUUGUUGAAAGGGAAGCGCUUGUGACCAGACUUGGGCGCGGCGAAUCAUCCGGGGUUCUCUCCGGUGCACUUCGCCGUGUUCAGGCCAGCAUCAGUUCGGCGCGGGGGAAAAAGGCUUCGGGAACGUGGCUGCUCCGGCAGUGUUAUAGCCCGUUGCAUAAUACCCUGCGCUGGACUGAGGACCGCGCAUCUGCAAGGAUGCUGGCGUAAUGGUCACCAGCGACCCGUCUUGA
rnacentral:rRNA from 1 species